rnacentral:rRNA from 1 species
AACGAACGCUGGCGGCAGGCUUAACACAUGCAAGUCGAACGCACCUUUCGGGGUGAGUGGCAGACGGGUGAGUAACGCGUGGGAAUCUACCCUUCUCUACGGGAUAGCUCUGGGAAACUGGAAUUAAUACCGUAUACGUCCUGAGGGAGAAAGAUUUAUCGGGGAAGGAUGAGCCCGCGUUGGAUUAGCUAGUUGGUGGGGUAAAGGCCUACCAAGGCGACGAUCCAUAGCUGGUCUAAGAGGAUGAUCAGCCACAUUGGGACUGAGACACGGCCCAAACUCCUACGGGAGGCAGCAGUGGGGAAUAUUGGACAAUGGGCGCAAGCCUGAUCCAGCCAUGCCGCGUGAGUGAUGAAGGCCCUAGGGUUGUAAAGCUCUUUCAGUGGGGACGAUAAUGACGGUACCCACAGAAGAAGCCCCGGCUAACUUCGUGCCAGCCGCCGCCGUAACAC